rnacentral:rRNA from 1 species
UACGACUACAUAUCAGGCAUAUCAAUAAGCGGAGGAAAAGAAACUAACUAGGAUUCCCUCAGUAACGGCGAGUGAAGCGGGAAGAGCUCAAAUUUGAAAUCUUCAAGGUUUUACCUUGACGAAUUGUAGUUUAAAGAAGUGUUUUCUGUUGGUAGUUUUGGUAAAAGUUCUUUGGAAUAGGACAUCAUAGAGGGUGAGAAUCCCGUAUUUGACCAUUAUUUCCAGCUUUGUGAUACACUUUCAAAGAGUCGGAUUGUUUGGGAAUGCAGUCCAAAAUGGGUGGUAAAUUUCAUCUAAAGCUAAAUAUUGGCGAGAGACCGAUAGCGAACAAGUACCGUGAGGGAAAGAUGAAAAGAACUUUGAAAAGAGAGUUAAACAGUACGUGAAAUUGUCAAAAGGGAAGCGUUUGACACCAGUGUUGUUUCUACGAAAAUCAAUUUAUGAUGGCUUGAUGCUAAGCUUUAAGACUUUAUCAGCUUGCUGUUUAGUUUUCUUGUCUUUGUGAAUGCACUUUUCGUUGAACAAGUCAACAUCAAUUUCUUUUGCUGUAAAAGGGUAAGAGGAAGGUGGCUUCGGCUUCGGUUGAAGUGUUUAUAGCCUUUUAUCUCUGCAGUCGGAGAGAUUGAGGUCUGCAGCGUAGACUCUUCGGGGUUAGAUACGUCGGUGCUAAGCUAUAGCUUUUCAUAGACAACUUGUUGACUAUGUUUAGCCAUGUGGCUUACCCGCUGGCGCUAUUUUACCUACGCUUAGGAUGUUGACACACGCGCGUGCUCG